rnacentral:rRNA from 1 species
UACAGAGGUGGCAAGCGUUGUUCGGAAUUACUGGGCGUAAAGGGCGCGUAGGCGGCCAUCUAAGUCAGACGUGAAAUCCCCCGGCUUAACCUGGGAACUGCAUCCGAUACUGGAUGGCUUGAAUCCGGGAGAGGGAUGCAGAAUUCCAGGUGUAGCGGUGAAAUGCGUAGAUAUCUGGAGGAAUACCGGUGGCGAAGGCGGCAUCCUGGACCGGCAUUGACGCUGAUGAGCGAAAGCUAGGGGAGCAAACGGG